rnacentral:rRNA from 1 species
GCAAGUCGAACGGAGCCAAGAGGAGCUUGCUUUUCUUGACUUAGUGGCGAACGGGUGAGUAACGCGUGAGUAACCUGCCCUGGAGUGGGGGACAACAGUUGGAAACGACUGCUAAUACCGCAUAAGCCCACGAUCCGGCAUCGGAUUGAGGGAAAAGGAUUUAUUCGCUUCAGGAUGGACUCGCGUCCAAUUAGCUAGUUGGUGAGGUAACGGCCCACCAAGGCGACGAUUGGUAGCCGGACUGAGAGGUUGAACGGCCACAUUGGGACUGAGACACGGCCCAGACUCCUACGGGAGGCAGCAGUGGGGGAUAUUGCACAAUGGGGGAAACCCUGAUGCAGCGACGCCGCGUGGAGGAAGAAGGUUUUCGGAUUGUAAACUCCUGUCGUUAGGGACGAUAAUGACGGUACCUAACAAGAAAGCACCGGCUAACUACGUGCCAGCAGCCGCGGUAAAACGUAGGGUGCAAGCGUUGUCCGGAAUUACUGGGUGUAAAGGGAGCGCAGGCGGACCGGCAAGUUGGAAGUGAAAACUAUGGGCUCAACCCAUAAAUUGCUUUC